rnacentral:rRNA from 1 species
UACGAAGGGGGCUAGCGUUGCUCGGAAUCACUGGGCGUAAAGGGUGCGUAGGCGGGUCUUUAAGUCAGGGGUGAAAUCCUGGAGCUCAACUCCAGAACUGCCUUUGAUACUGAAGAUCUUGAGUUCGGGAGAGGUGAGUGGAACUGCGAGUGUAGAGGUGAAAUGCGCAGAUAUCAGGAAGAACACCCGUGGCUAAGGCGGCUCUCUAGUACGGUACUGACGCUGAGACGCGAAAGCGUGGGGAGCGAACAGG